AGUCCAUUAAGGAUAUUUCUAGGUUUUCCAGAUAUGCUUGUUUCCUUCCCUCCAAAUCUGACGGAGCUAACCGGCAACCUACGCAACCGAAAAAGAAAAUAUACCACUACCCUUGUCCUUUCUAUUUGUCGUCAUUCUUCUUCUGUAAUUUUGCGAAUCAGAGGGUUAAUGAAUGCUCAGUUGACAAGCAUAUAUAUAACCCAUGUUCAAGGCCCAUUAUUAUUAUGUGUGAUCGAUCAUAAACCAUGGGUGCGAGCCUUACUACUUUUGAAAACAACACCGGUGCUGAGCUUCAACUGCGGUUCUUUCGACCCCCGGCGCGACCAGAUCACUUUCGUAGGACCAUUACAAUCAGAGCGGGUGGGAGAGCGAAUAUCUCACACUCAGAGUUGCGUCACAACGACACAAACCCAGAAAGGCACGAGGUCAUAAUAAUAUUUGUCGAUGGCGUUGCCACCGGCGUCGGAUUGGUUCCACGCCAAGUCAUUAACUUCUCGAGAGUCGUUUGUGGCAUUAAUGAAGCUGGAGGAUUGGUCAUCCGGGGAGUCCCAAAAGGGGGGUGCGGAUGCUUUGCAGGAGGGGGUUUAGAGGACCUUGCAUAAGAUCUGAUAUUGGCGCUCUAGUCUGCUACUCGUAGGCCUCCUGCACCACCAGUUGCUGUGUUUUAUCGACUGUAUUUGUCUUGUCAGUUCUAUCUGUAUCGCUAAAAUAAGUGGUUUAUCCACUCAUGUAUGGAUUUUGCUUGAAUUUGGUAAAGUUACAUUGCAAUAUACGAUGAUCUUUCUACUGGCUGC